rnacentral:rRNA from 1 species
GACAGAGGGUGCGAACGUUGCUCGGAAUUACUGGGCGUAAAGCGCGUGUAGGCGGGUGAUCAAGUCAGGUGUGAAAUCCCCAGGCUCAACCUGGGAACUGCACUUGAAACUGGUCGCCUUGAGUGUUGGAGAGGGAAGCGGAAUUCCUGGUGUAGAGGUGAAAUUCGUAGAUAUCAGGAGGAACACCGGUGGCGAAGGCGGGUCUCUGGGCAACAACUGACGCUGAGGAGCGAAAGCGUGGGGAGCGAACAGG